rfam:Pan troglodytes isolate Yerkes chimp pedigree #C0471 (Clint) chromosome 11, whole genome shotgun sequence.
AAUGGUGAGAGCGUUGAGGGGAGUUCCAGACGGAGAUGCGAGGACCCCCUCGGGGUCUGACCCACA